rnacentral:rRNA from 1 species
AUUGAACGCUGGCGGCAUGCUUUACACAUGCAAGUCGAACGGUAACAGGGUGCUUGCACCGCUGACGAGUGGCGAACGGGUGAGUAAUGCGUCGGAACGUGCCGAGUAGUGGGGGAUAACGCAUCGAAAGGUGUGCUAAUACCGCAUACGUACUGAGGUAGAAAGUGGGGGACCUUCGGGCCUCACGCUAUUCGAGCGGCCGACGUCUGAUUAGCUAGUUGGUGAGGUAAAGGCUCACCAAGGCGACGAUCAGUAGCGGGUCUGAGAGGAUGAUCCGCCACACUGGGACUGAGACACGGCCCAGACUCCUACGGGAGGCAGCAGUGGGGAAUUUUGGACAAUGGGCGCAAGCCUGAUCCAGCCAUGCCGCGUGUCUGAAGAAGGCCUUCGGGUUGUAGAGGACUUUUGUCCGGGAGCAAAUGCCUGGUGUUAAUAGCACUGGGAGCUGAGAGUACCGGAAGAAUAAGCACCGGCUAACUACGUGCCAGCCGCCGCAGUAAAAC